rnacentral:tRNA from 1 species
GGGGCUAUAGCUCAGCUGGGAGAGCGCCUGCUUUGCACGCAGGAGGUCAGCGGUUCGAUCCCCUUAGCUCCACCA